AAACAAUUGCAGUAAGUCCCUUUAAAUGCUUCUUGCGAGAAAGGUAUAUCAACCGGAUAUACUAAUGUCAUUUAGUUGUUAUCUUGUUGUGCGUAAAAAGUAAACAAAAAACAGAUUUUUCUUAGGCGCUUAUCUUUGAAUGACCGGUUUCAGUAUUUCUGUCUGAUCGAGUUAUCUUGUUUGUGUUCGAAAAUGUUUUCAGAUCAUACUUUUUAGACGUGUAUUAUUGAAGGAUAUCUGCUUGAAUACGUAGUACUAUGGAAAUUCUUGGCUGCUUGGAAGUAUCCUCCACCAUUACAAGUCGACGUAAUUCGAAGAUUAAUUUUCUUCGACUGCGUCGUUUCCUCUCAAAGAGGUUGAUUCACAAACACCAGUGCAGUAUCAGUGCCGUGUCAGUUCAGUGCCAGUGAUAUCCGUGACGCUUCAGUGACGUCUAUGCACACAUAUCCGUAGUGACUCUGUACAGCGUGAAAUCAGUAUUUCUAAGCUGGCAAAAUUUUCUGAAGUAGAGCUGGCAAUGAUUGCCACAAUUCUUGAUGAAGAGGAAGAAGCUGAGCAUAAAGUGAAGAAAAGAAAGUGAGUAGCUACAUGGAGCGCGGAAGAAAAGAGAAAGUGAAGGAGAGUUUGCUACUCUGUACAAGGAAUUAAUUGAUGAGGAAACAAAAUUUUUCCAGUACUUUAUAAUGGCCGACAACUGUUUCAAGAUAUUGCUCAGUAAAACAGGGGCUUACCUGAGGAAGCAAGACAAACACUGGAGAAAGACUAAAACCGGAGGAACGAUUAGCAGUUUAUUUGAGGUCCUGUUUGGCUGAUGGUCUUCUCUUCGGCUGUUGUGAUCAGCAUCUUCAUCUGGUUUCUGGAGCGUCUGAGGUCUCGGUUGACCUUUGGAGUUUAUCGACGCUCGAGUCCUGAUCCUGCAAGAUUUUCCCGCUGGUAAAUUAAAAGGCUAUUGACUCUGGAAGAAAUACUAAAGUUUGCAUUCAAACCAGUAUAACUUAUUUGCAAGACAUUUUACAAAGGAUAAGCAGCAGUAAUCUACAGAUCAUGGUGAGAAGGACGUGACUUUUGCCCUGGGACAUCUGAAGGGCGCCUUCUUGGUGCUGGCUUUCGGCCUUCUUGCCUCCCUCCUCGUCUUCUGCGGGGAGGUAGUAAUGGCCAGGAUUGGUAAUGACAAUUAAGACAGUGAAAAAAGGAAUGAACUAAUUACGAAAUGACGUUGAGGGGAAAACUUAGAUCCAGUUUGAAAUUUUUCAUUCUGUGUAUCUAGCUGUUCACUGCACAUGAUAAGAAGUAGUUCAUUACAUGUGUUAUCUUACUUG